CUGUGGGGAAAAAAAGUAAGUAUAUAUUAUAUCUAAAAAAAGACUUGAAGAGCUUGAAGGGAAGAACCAAAAAAUGGCGGACGAAGGAAGCGGAAGUGGAACCGCUAAUUGCAUAGAUAUUCUGCUUGCUAUCCUCUUGCCUCCUCUCGGCGUCUUCCUUAAAUUUGGCUGCCAUGUGGAGUUUUGGAUAUGUUUGGCGUUAACGUUCUUAGGAUACAUUCCGGGGAUCAUAUAUGCUAUCUAUGCCAUCACCAAGAAGUAGUGAUCUCUCUCUACCUUCUUGAGUCUUGUUAUAUGGUUACCACUUGUAUAUUUCAUGUACAACUAUAGUCUAUACAUGAUAAAUCACAGCUCUCCUCUUCUACUGCACUAGGACGAUAUGAUUGAUGAAGGAACGGUGGUGUUAUUUUGAUAGUUUCUUUUUUAUUGUUCUUUUCAAUAUUGUAAGAUAAACUUAUUAAAUAUGGUAAAGUUAAUAUAAUGGAGUUGAACUUUUAAA